AUGAAAUAAAUGUCGAAAAGGGUUGUAGCUGGCCUCUUGAGGCAUGUGCACACCUUUAUCGUGCAUCUACAUCUCACACCUGUGCACAACCUGUAGCUUGGGAUGAUUACAAUACUGGAAACGGUAUUGAAAGCCCUCGCUAUGAAUUUUUAUACAACCCUAUUAAAAGUUACAGAAUGUUUAAUGUUAUAGCGUGUAACAGCGCAAAUAAAUAUA
rnacentral:misc_RNA from 1 species